rnacentral:rRNA from 1 species
CCUACGGGAGGCAGCAGUGGGGAAUAUUGGGCAAUGGGGGCAACCCUGACCCAGCAACGCCGCGUGAAGGACGAAGGCCUUCGGGUUGUAAACUUCUUUGAUCAGGGACGAAUAAAUGACGGUACCUGAAGAACAAGCCACGGCUAACUACGUGCCAGCAGCCGCGGUAAUACGUAGGUGGCAAGCGUUAUCCGGAUUUACUGGGUGUAAAGGGCGUGUAGGCGGGUCUGCAAGUCGGAUGUGAAAUUCCCGGGCUUAACUCGGGCAGGUCAUCCGAAACUGCGGAUCUUGAGUACUGGAGAGGAUAGUGGAAUUCCUAGUGUAGCGGUAAAAUGCGUAGAUAUUAGGAGGAACACCAGUGGCGAAGGCGGCUAUCUGGACAGUAACUGACGCUGAGGCGCGAAAGCGUGGGGAGCAAACAGGAUUAGAUACCCCGGUAGUCAAG